GGUCCGUUGGCCCAGUGGAACGGCGUCUGACUUCUAAUCAGAAGAUCACGGGUUCGACCCCCGUACGGACCU